GCCUCCGUAGUCCAACGGUAGAGACAGCGGCAUGAGGUGCCGUGUGCUGGAUCUGGUUGGCCAGGGCUAGCACUGAAUCCCUCCGGAGGUA
rnacentral:tRNA from 1 species